AACGAACGCUGGCGGCAGGCUUAACACAUGCAAGUCGAGCGCCCCGCAAGGGGAGCGGCAGACGGGUGAGUAACGCGUGGGAAUCUACCCAUCUCUACGGAAUAACGCAUGGACACGUGUGCUAAUACCGUAUACGUCCUUCGGGAGAAAGAUUUAUCGGAGAUGGAUGAGCCCGCGUUGGAUUAGCUAGUUGGUGGGGUAAAGGCCUACCAAGGCGACGAUCCAUAGCUGGUCUGAGAGGAUGAUCAGCCACACUGGGACUGAGACACGGCCCAGACUCCCACGGGAGGCAGCAGUGGGGAAUAUUGGACAAUGGGCGCAAGCCUGAUCCAGCCAUGCCGCGGGAGUGAUGAAGGCCCUAGGGUUGUAAAGCUCUUUCACCGGUGAGGAUAAUGACGGUAACCGGAGAAGAAGCCCCGGCUAACUUCGUGCCAGCCGCCGCGGUAACAC
rnacentral:rRNA from 1 species